rnacentral:rRNA from 1 species
GUAAUUUGUAGAGGAUGCUUCGGGCAAGGCUGUGGUCUAAUUUGCUUGGAACAGCAGGUCACAGAGGGUGAGAAUCCCGUCUAGGAUCGUAAGCCGCGUCCAUGUGAAGCUCCUUCGACGAGUCGAGUUGUUUGGGAAUGCAGCUCUAAAUGGGUGGUAAAUUUCAUCUAAAGCUAAAUAUUGGCCAGAGACCGAUAGCGCACAAGUAGAGUGAUCGAAAGAUGAAAAGCACUUUGAAAAGAGAGUUAAACAGUAUGUGAAAUUGUUGAAAGGGAAGCGCUUGCAAUCAGACUUGCGUGUGACGGUUCCCCCGGCCUUCGGGCCGGGCUACUCCGUCAUAUCCAGGCCAGCAUCGGUUUGGGUGGUCGGUUAAAGACCCCGGGAAUGUAUCUACCUCCGGGUCGACUUAUAGCCCGGGGUGCAAUGCGGCCCAUCCGGACCGAGGAACGCGCUUCGGCUCGGAUGCUGGCGUAAUGGUUGUAAGCGGCCCGUCUUGAAACACGGACCAAGGAGUCUAACAUCUAUGCGAGUGUUUGGGUGUCAAACCCCUACGCGUAAUGAAAGUGAACGGAGGUAAGAACCCUUAACCGGGCGCAUUAUCGACCGAUCCUGAUGUCUUCGGAUGGAUUUGAGUAAGAGCAUAGCUGUUGGGACCCGAAAGAUGGUGAACUAUGCCU